rnacentral:tRNA from 2 species
GCCCGGAUGGCGAAACUGGUAGACGCACCGGACUUAAAAUCCGUCGGCCGCAAGGUCGUGCCGGUUCGAUUCCGGCUCCGGGCACCA